rnacentral:lncRNA from 1 species
UUUUGAGCAAUGAGAUUUACAUAUAUAUAAAAAUACCACGUUUAUUUAUUACAAAUGUGGAACCAGAAAUACAUUAUCUUUAACAACAAGGUGCAGUUUGAUUAGCUAAGGAAACAGAUACAUGAAGUUGUUAUUUUAGGCAAAGUGAAAGCCAUGACAGAAAGUACAAUACAGUUAUACAAAACACAAACAUUAAGCACAACAUAAAUCUAGAACAACUUAAGCAAAUGUUACCAUUGAAGGUACUUAUUUCAAACAUAAGACAUAAUCCAGCAAAUUUUUAUAAACACUGCACAAUCACUGAAUUUGUUCAUUUAGAACCUUGUUGCUGUUACUGCAGAACAACACAUUCUUGUGAACCAGCCACCACAGUAGGGUAUGUGCUCGAGUUGACAGCGUCGUCUUUGGGAAGAGAUUGAAGAUUGUCAUCCAAUUCUUCAGUUAAAGCAAUGGCUUCAAAGAUAAGAGCAUUGACUUCUUGAAACCUUU